GGCCCCUUAACUCAGUUGGUAGAGUGUGAGAUUCCAAUGUUAUGACUGCGACAGCUCCGGCUGCGGCUGUGACUAUCUCAAAGUCAAGCGUUCAAGUCGCUUAGGGGUCA